UACGAAGGGGGCUAGCGUUGCUCGGAAUCACUGGGCGUAAAGCGCACGUAGGCGGAUUGUUAAGUCAGGGGGUGAAAUCCUGGAGCUCAACUCCAGAACUGCCUUUGAUACUGGCGAUCUUGAGUCCGGGAGAGGUGAGUGGAACUGCGAGUGUAGAGGUGAAAUUCGUAGAUAUUCGCAAGAACACCAGUGGCGAAGGCGGCUCACUGGCCCGGUACUGACGCUGGAGGUGCGAAAGCGUGAGGAGCAAACAGG
rnacentral:rRNA from 1 species